GGCUUUGUAGUCAAUAAUGAUUUUAAAUUGCAAGUUUAAGGGUAAAGUUUUUAACUUUUUAAGCCU
rnacentral:tRNA from 1 species